UACGUAGGGUGCAAGCGUUGUCCGGAAUCAUUGGGCGUAAAGCGCGCGUAGGCGGCCCGAUAAGUCCGCUGUAAAAGUCAACGGCUCAACUGUUGAAAGCCGGUGGAUACUGUCGGGCUAGAGUACGGAAGAGGCAAGUGGAAUUCCUUGUGUAGCGGUGGAAUGCGCAGAUAUCAGGAGGAACACCUAUAGCGAAGGCAGCUUGCUGGGACGUUACUGACGCUAAGGCGCGAAAGCGUGGGGAGCGAACAGG
rnacentral:rRNA from 1 species